rnacentral:lncRNA from 1 species
UGUCGGCGUGAGGUGAGGGGCAGCGCGCGGUCCGCACGGUGGAGCUCUCCCGAGCUGGUUUGGGCCAAACGCGUGGGCCGAGCUCCUGGGCCGCAGUGGCACAGUGCUGUCUUGUUUUUCUUUUUCUUUUAUGCAGUUUUUGUUUUAUAUUUGAAAUUGUGUAGUAAAUUUUGUGCUGAUCCAAAAAUUAUGAAAAUUUUUGUGUGGGUUCCAGAGAAUGUAAAGAGUGUAGGAAAAAUAUUAAAUUUUAUUUUAUGUUAGUUUGCAUGUAUCUAUAAAUUGCCUCUGUUUAUUAAUGAAUAAACCUUCCAUGAUUUUUAGUAAAUUAUGGGUAUAUCCAAAAAUCAUGAAAUUUAAUAUGUGAUCUUAUGUUACUGUUAUCUAGCUUCAAGAAUAAUUUCAGCUCUGUUUGAUAAAGUAUGCUCUGUCUCUUAAUAAAGCUAUUUAAAAUAAUUAUAAAAGAAAUAGAAAUAAUUAUUCCUUUAGGCUUUGUGUGAUAUUUUAGAUUGAUUGGCAA